rnacentral:rRNA from 1 species
GAACGCUGGCGGCGUGCUUAACACAUGCAAGUCGAACGGUGACGACAGGAGCUUGCUUCUGUUUGAUCAGUGGCGAACGGGUGAGUAACACGUGAGUAACCUGCCCCAGACUCUGGGAUAACCCCGGGAAACCGGAGCUAAUACCGGAUAUGACACCAACGGGCAUCCGUAUGGUGUGGAAAGUUUUUCGGUCUGGGAUGGACUCGCGGCCUAUCAGCUUGUUGGUGAGGUAGUGGCUCACCAAGGCGACGACGGGUAGCCGGCCUGAGAGGGCGACCGGCCACACUGGGACUGAGACACGGCCCAGACUCCUACGGGAGGCAGCAGUGGGGAAUAUUGCACAAUGGGCGGAAGCCUGAUGCAGCGACGCCGCGUGAGGGAUGACGGCCUUCGGGUUGUAAACCUCUUUCAGCAGGGAAGAAGCGCAAGUGACGGUACCUGCAGAAGAAGCACCGGCUAACUACGUGCCAGCAGCCGCGGUAAUACGUAGGGUGCGAGCGUUGUCCGGAAUUAUUGGGCGUAAAGAGCUUGUAGGUGGUUUGUCGCGUCUGCUGUGAAAAUCCGAGGCUCAACCUCGGACUUGCAGUGGGUACGGGCAGACUAGAGUGUGGUAGGGGAGACUGGAAUUCCUGGUGUAGCGGUGGAAUGCGCAGAUAUCAGGAGGAACACCGAUGGCGAAGGCAGGUCUCUGGGCCAUUACUGACACUGAGAAGCGAAAGCAUGGGGAGCGAACAGGAUUAGAUACCCUGGUAGUCCAUGCCGUAAA